rnacentral:rRNA from 1 species
CCUACGGGUGGCAGCAGUCGAGAAUUCUUCACAAUGGGGGAAACCCUGAUGGUGCGACGCCGCGUGGGGGAAUGAAGGUCUUCGGAUUGUAAACCCCUGUCAUGUGGGAGCAAAUUAAAAAGAUAGUACCACAAGAGGAAGAGACGGCUAACUCUGUGCCAGCAGCCGCGGUAAUACAGAGGUCUCAAGCGUUGUUCGGAAUCACUGGGCGUAAAGCGUGCGUAGGCUGUUUCGUAAGUCGUGUGUGAAAGGCGCGGGCUCAACCCGCGGACGGCACAUGAUACUGCGAGACUAGAGUAAUGGAGGGGGAACCGGAAUUCUCGGUGUAGCAGUGAAAUGCGUAGAUAUCGAGAGGAACACUCGUGGCGAAGGCGGGUUCCUGGACAUUAACUGACGCUGAGGCACGAAGGCCAGGGGAGCGAGAGGGAUUAGAUACCCGGGUAGUC